GGUAAGGUGGCCGAGCAGAAGGCGGCGGUUUGUAGCUCCGUGAACGGAGGUUUGAGUCCUCUCCUUAUUA
rnacentral:tRNA from 1 species